UACGGAGGGUGCAAGCGUUAUCCGGAUUCACUGGGUUUAAAGGGUGCGUAGGCGGAUUAGAAAGUCCGUUGUGAAAUCUCUGAGCUUAACUCGGAAAUUGCGGUGGAUACUAUUAGUCUUGAAUACUGUGGAGGUUAGCGGAAUAUGUCAUGUAGCGGUGAAAUGCAUAGAUAUGACAUAGAACACCAAUUGCGAAGGCAGCUGCGCUACACAG
rnacentral:rRNA from 1 species